UUUGAAGUUGCCUAACAUUUUGACCACGUUCAUUUUAUGUUUUGUUGUCAGAAACAACAGAAGGAUUCGUUGGAGGCUCACAGACGGAGACGAGAGGAUUUCAUCACUGUUCUAAAUGGAGACGAGGACAAGAUGGAGAGCAUCAAGGUAAAGACCUGUGUGAUACAGAGACGAGGACAAGAUGGAGAGCAUCAAGGUAAAGACCUGUGUGUGAUACAGAGACGAGGACAAGAUGGAGAGCAUCAAGGUAAAGACCUGUGUGUGAUACAGAGACGAGGACAAGAUGGAGAGCAUCAAGGUAAAGACCUGUGUGUGAUACAGAGACGAGGACAAGAUGGAGAGCAUCAAGGUAAAGACCUGUGUGUGAUACAGAGACGAGGACAAGAUGGAGAGCAUCAAGGUAAAGACCUGUGUGUGAUACAGAGACGAGGACAAGAUGGAGAGCAUCAAGGUAAAGACCUGUGUGUGAUACAGAGACGAGGACAAGAUGGAGAGCAUCAAGGUAAAGACCUGUGUGUGAUACAGAGACGAGGACAAGAUGGAGAGCAUCAAGGUAAAGACCUGUGUGUGAUACAGAGACGAGGACAAGAUGGAGAGCAUCAAGGUAAAGACCUGUGUGUGAUACAGAGACGAGGACAAGAUGGAGAGCAUCAAGGUAAAGACCUACCUGUGUGAUACAGAGACGAGGACAAGAUGGAGAGCAUCAAGGUAAAGACCUGUGUGUGAUACAGAGACGAGGACAAGAUGGAGAGCAUCAAGGUAAAGACCUGUGUGUGAUACAGAGACGAGGACAAGAUGGAGAGCAUCAAGGUAAAGACCUGUGUGAUACAGAGACGAGGACAAGAUG